GAGAAGUGGAUUUGCACCCUUCUCAGAGGGAUUCCAAGAUUGGCAGGUUUCAGCCAGCCUAUCAAGCGCAAACUUAAAUGACCAGAACCUCGCAUUUGGUUUCCCUUCAGAGCCUGUUCCUCCUCUGGGCUUUCUUACACUUCUCCUCAGUAAAUGGUAAGUCGGCCCUCGGUGCUGCAUGGACUGGAUGCUCUGAAGGCAUUCUUGACAUUUUCUCUCACUGAUAUCUAAAGAGUCAGGAAAUCUGUUAGUUCUUGUCAUGGCUUGAAUAUGAAGAGUUCCACACAGGCUCAUGCACUGAGGCCGUGGUCUGCAGCUGGUGACAUUCUUCUGGGAGGCUUGUGGGGACUUUAACAGAUGGGUCAUUGUUGGAGGAAGUAGGUCACUGGGGGACAUUCACUUGUGGAGUAUCUUGGCUUCCUUACCGUCCCUCUACCCACCUCCAGCACCUGUGAGGUAAAUAGCUAUGUUCUACUAUCCCAUGAUGCUCCUCUGUUCUCCUAUCCCUGCUAUCCCAUGAUGCUCUGUUCUACUAUGCGUACUUUCCCAUGAUGCUCUGUUUCAUCACCAGCCCACAGCAGUAGAUCCACAUGACCGUGGCGUGCAUGUCUAUAACCCUGAGCCAAAACAAAUCUCUCCUCCUUCAAAAUUCUCAGGUCCUUGUCACAGCAACAGAUAUUCUCUCCCCACCACCACACACAUGGACACACACACACACACACACACACACACUCCUACCUCAGCCUUCUAACUAGUCUUUUGCUGUAAAGUAGCAACAGCACACUGAAUGAAUAAUAGCCUCUCCCUGAGACUUUAUCGCCUAUAGGCAUUUUAGCUCAGAACAAACCUCACUUUGUGCAGUGACACAAUUGACAAAGCAUUUCUCAGAGUGUCCGGCAGCACUUCCUCAGAUACCCCACUGACCUCAUGUACCAUCCCUUGUUGUGUCAAAGUUUCCUCCUAGAAAUACUCCCUCCUACCAGGAAGCCCCUUUAACCAGAAGGUAAACACUCAGAAUAGCUUCUAGCAGUCCAGGGUCACUGGGCACCCCCCUCCCAACACAAGCAAUAAAGAGUCCCGUCUCAGACCAGCCAAGAUGCUGAGAAGACUCAGAGAUCAGACCUGGAAGACUCGGAAACCAGCCCAGCCUCCUGGAAGAGGUUUAAACCAACCAAGUCACACGAGAAGGCCACUUGCCACCCAGCUGAGCUUCCUGCAGGCUCUACACUGGGCUCCAGAUUCCCAGCUUCUGUGACCUGCCACUCAUGCUGGGGUGGUCUUUGGUGAUGCAGCUGCCUCUGAGUCAUUUCUGCUUCUGUAGGUAAUGCCUCAUAUUUCUGUGAGGACACCUCAAUAAAACUUACUGCUUCACCAA
rnacentral:lncRNA from 1 species